rnacentral:rRNA from 1 species
UACGGAGUGUGCAAGCGUUACUCGGAAUCACUGGGCGUAAAGGGCGCGUAGGCGGCCGCCUAAGUCAGACGUGAAAUCCCUCGGCUCAACCGGGGAACUGCGUCUGAUACUGGGUGGCUUGAAUCCGGGAGAGGGAUGCGGAAUUCCAGGUGUAGCGGUGAAAUGCGUAGAUAUCUGGAGGAACACCGGUGGCGAAGGCGGCAUCCUGGACCGGCAUUGACGCUGAGGCGCGAAAGCCAGGGGAGCAAACGGG